CCACCCACUUGAUGGUUGAGAUGUUCAAGACUCAGCACCAUCAGCUG
rnacentral:sRNA from 1 species